GACAAACGCUGGCGGCGUGCCUAAUACAUGCAAGUCGAGCGAGGAAACCCUUCGGGGGAGUAUGAGCGGCGCACGGGUGAGGAACGCGUGGAUAAUCUGCCCUCUAGCGGGGAAUAACCAAGGGAAACUUUGGCUAAUACCGCAUAAGACCACAGUAGCUGCGGCUACAGGGGUUAAAGAUUUAUCACUAGAGGAUGAGUCCGCGUCCGAUUAGCUUGAUGGUGGGGUAAAAGCCUACCAUAGCUCCGAUCGGUAGCUGGUCUGAGAGGAUGAUCAGCCACACUGGAACUGAGACACGGUCCAG
rnacentral:rRNA from 1 species